rnacentral:rRNA from 1 species
AGGACGAACGCUGGCGGCGUGCUUAACACAUGCAAGUCGAGCGGAAAGGCCCUUCGGGGUACUCGAGCGGCGAACGGGUGAGUAACACGUGAGUAAUCUGCCCCUAGCUCUGGGAUAGCUCCGGGAAACCGGGAUUAAUACCGGAUACGACCACCUUAGACAUCUUUUGUGGUGGAAAGAAUUUCGGCUAGGGAUGAGCUCGCGGCCUAUCAGCUUGUUGGUGGGGUAACGGCCUACCAAGGCGACGACGGGUAGCCGGCCUGAGAGGGCGACCGGCCACACUGGGACUGAGACACGGCCCAGACUCCUACGGGAGGCAGCAGUGGGGAAUAUUGCGCAAUGGGCGAAAGCCUGACGCAGCGACGCCGCGUGGCGGAGAAGGCCUUCGGGUUGUAAACCGCUUUUGGUCGGAAGAAAAGGCGCCACCUAAUACGGGGCGUUCUUGACGGUACCGGCAGAAUAAGCACCGGCUAACUACGUGCCAGCAGCCGC